UGUUUUAUUUCUUUUUUUCCAGGUCAGUUCUUCGCCAAAACCUACGAUCCAAUUCCAGUCCAACCAAGGGGUAAGUAAUUAUCUGAUUCAUUGAAAAGCGGAUUUUCGGAACCUUUCAAAAGAGUCACACGUGAUCGGUUUUUGCGUUUCCUCCAUUUUUCCGCCCUCCCCGAAACUGUCGUUCGAGUAAAUUCGAGAUUCUCGAAUACGAUUCGAAGUAGCGUUACAUGUGAACAUACAAGGAGAACGCAUGGGAGCGCUUACGAAUUUCUAAUCUAUUUUUAGAGUUAGAAUAAGGGGGCGUAAAUGGCGAGAGUGGCGGAAAGUAACUGUUUUAAAAGACAUUUAAGCGUGUAUUCGAUCGAAUUUCUUUCAGCUAUGACCUAAUUAGUAAGAAAACAGAAGCACUGGUAUGCCCUGAUCUACUUCGCAAUGUUUUGCUUUUAGGGACACCGUCCUGUAACUCGUUCACCUAUGAAUGCCUAAAACUUAUGCAUUCCUCGCUUGUGACGCGGCAAACGUCGCGUUAGUCAUCGACCCAGUUUUUUCAGAGUCGCAAUUUAUAUGUCCGCGAUACGUCGGCACUUUCUAUGCGUGCGCGCGCUCGCGCGCCAUGUUUCCUUGCGUUAAUAAUAAUUGCAACGCCGACGCUUCCGUAACACGCGUCAGUACGGGAGCAAACCCGUUACUGAAGUACACUGACGCUUUCAGCCUCCUUUUAUGCUCUGGAUAACGUGGAGGGGAGGAGUCUCGGACCGUAAUCGUCCUAUGACGACGUCAUGCGUAAUUGGGUUGCCCGUCCUCUUUUCUACUAACCAAUGGAGAGCAGUGUAUGUCAGUGGGGCGCGCGGGAAUCGCGUCGUCAUCGUGCGAUUUCGCUUGCGUCGCCAUGUGACGUCAACCGAUUUCCGUUUUCUCUUCUCUCUCUCUCUCUGUCACACUUUGUAGGGCAAUAACCGUGCGUGAACCGGCCGCCAUCCGUAUCAGGAAAUACCCGAAUGGCAGGUUGGACGCCUUAAGAAGGGCGAAUUCCUUUAAGUAUAGGGAAAACUUACUGUCCUAAUAAACGUCACCCAUAACUAAAAGAUGAUCUACGGAUGAGUUCUAAUUAAAUAAUCACUAGAUAGCAUGACUUAAAAGCAUGGAGAAACCAGCAGAGUAAUAUCUAGCGACAGGGAGUUUUAUUAAUAGAAUUUAUAUUAAAUAUUACCAGUUUUAUAUAAUAAUCAUUUGAAAAAUACAUCUCAGUUGUUUUUUUAAUUAUGAAAUGUCUAUACAGAAUUUUACUUCAUUAACUUGAAGUACACUUCUUCUUAAAAUGCAUUUAAAUAAGUUUGCUUUUGACUGAAAAUUUUUAAAUGUACAGAAAAAUAUAGAAAUCGGAUUAAACUUAAUAGCAACAUGAAUAUCUAAUAACAUUGUAAAAAUAUUGAUAAAUUUGCUGUCAAAAUAAAUCGUUCUAUUAAAAAUUUAAAAAAAAAAAAAUCUCUUAAGUACAAUCAAAAAGUUAG
rnacentral:lncRNA from 1 species